rnacentral:rRNA from 1 species
CAGAGGUGGCAAGCGUUGUUCGGAAUUACUGGGCGUAAAGGGCGCGUAGGCGGCCUUCUAAGUCAGACGUGAAAUCCCCAGGCUUAACUUGGGAACUGCGUCUGAUACUGGAGGGCUCGAGUGCGGGAGAGGGAUGUGGAAUUCCAGGUGUAGCGGUAAAAUGCGUAGAUAUCUGGAGGAACACCGGUGGCGAAGGCGGCAUCCUGGACCGACACUGACGCUGAGGCGCGAAAGCUAGGGGAGCAAACGGGAUUAGAUACCCCGGUAGUCCUAGCCCUAAACGAUGAGUGCUUGGUGUGGCGGGUAUCGAUCCCUGCCGUGCCGAAGCUAACGCAUUAAGCACUCCGCCUGGGGAGUACGGUCGCAAGGCUG